UUGCUGGUCCCUGACAGAACAUCUGGAUCUAUUCCCUGGAAGGAGUGAUUAUUUUGUGUUGAUUUGUACUUAGAAGAUCACCAUCGUAUGCCAUCAUAUUUUGGCUGCUGGAAUAAUGAAAGGUAGAUGAUUUAGUAUGAGGAAUUGACUCAUGUGAUGAUGGAGGUGUAGAAGUUCCAUGAUUGCCAUCUGUAAGCUGAUGACACAGAAAAGCUGGUGGUGUAAUUCAGCUGGAGUCCAAAGGCCUGAAACCCAGAAGAACUGACGGUGUAAAUUCAAGUUUGAGGGUAGGAGAUGAGAUAAGAUGUUCCAGCUUAAGCAGUGAAG